UUUUUACAAAAAACAUUCAGAUCCCUACAAAUUUUUUGAAAAAAGCAAUCGGGUCCUCCCUUCCUCUAGAUCGAGAGGAGCUGCGACCGCAUCCGAGCUCGCCAGCAAGCAACUGCAGUGAGGAAGUCGCGGACCAGCAGCCACAAUAAGGAACUCACUGACCAGUAGAGAUAGCAUCGCUCCGCAGCUCUCCUCCCUCUUCCUCGGGUCUACUCGAGAUGGGUGGAGCAGCUUAACGUGCUUCACUCCCAUGGCCGUCGUUGCCAACCACCUCCACCGUGGCUGUGUUGAGGCAUUCGAUUGCCCUCUAAUUGGCACCGUCCUUCGCCAACCCCCGUACAUGGUCUAUCAUUGGCGCCGUUAGUCCCAUCCUCCACCUUCCUCCUCAAGCUCAACACAAACGGCCCAUGCCGCUGUUAAAGACGCACCUCUCGCCACCGCGGAUGAGGACGUCCUCUUGAAUGCCUCCUCAUCGUCAACUCCACCACCAUGAGCUCCGGUAAGCACCUCUCACGACCAUGGAGAUGCUACCGAGGGGAUGAAGGGUCGUCACCAAUUCGGGAUGGAGGGGAGGAUCGCCGG
rnacentral:lncRNA from 1 species